GGUAGACAGGUGGUGCAUGGCUGUCGUCAGCUCGUGUCGUGAGAUGUUGGGUUAAGUCCCGCAACGAGCGCAACCCUUGUCCUGUGUUGCCAGCACGUGAUGGUGGGGACUCGCAGGAGACUGCCGGGGUCAACUCGGAGGAAGGUGGGGACGACGUCAAGUCAUCAUGCCCCUUAUGUCCAGGGCUUCACACAUGCUACAAUGGUCGGUACAGAGGGCUGCGAUACCGUGAGGUGGAGCGAAUCCCUUAAAGCCGGUCUCAGUUCGGAUCGGGGUCUGCAACUCGACCCCGUGAAGUCGGAGU
rnacentral:rRNA from 1 species